ensembl:lncRNA
UUUCACAUCAAAGGCAUUUUAUUUUGCAAGCAUUUCUUUGUUAUUUCCUACUUAGACUUUGCUAGUAAGCUGCUGAGAGGGACACUGGCACCACUGCUCAGCCUCCCCACCUCCCACUGCUGAACCGGCGGGGUUUGGGUUUCCAUUCCUGCACAGGGGCAUCAGGUCACCAGUAACCCAUGGACACAAAUAUGCUCAAAAUAACACCUCGAUUGUCCAAGCUCAGAGCUGCAGCACCAGGAGGGUCAGGAGUGGUGCAGGAUCUGGUGUCCCAACAUUGCUCUGCCCGGGUUCGCCCAUGUGAGACCAUCCCUCUUGCCCCACCAUGAGCACUGAUGGCUGGAGCUUCACCUGCAGAGCUGAGCUGCAGCAAAAUGGGACACAGCCAUGGCACACAGGUACGGGUGCUGCUGUGACAGUGGAGUGGCAUCUGGCCUGGCAGUGUGAUUCCCAGUUAUCUGUGGGGAGGUUUUUUGACAGCUUUUUCUUACCCUGCCAGUAGUGUGCUGGUUCGCAGCUGCAUCUCAGUGAAGACCCUGCAGUCACACGGGAUGUUACAUCAGUUACUAACUUCUUCAGUCCCUGAAAUGCCAGCCAGCCUCUGGAAUGGCUCAGUAAAGAACCAAGCCUGGUCAGGUGAGAGAGAGGACGAGGAGCCUCCCCGUGAGCCCGGCAGGGCAUGGGGUGCAGGCAGCAAUGGAGGUCAAGCGAGAACAAGGUUCACACUUGUCAGCAGAAGGAGAAAUUAACCCAUCCAGCAUGUUGUAAGCACAGCUGUGGGGCAGCCGUGUCCCUGCACCGGUGCACUGCUCUCCUCCCUUGUGCCCAGUGAACCCCCUUUGGCUCUCACUGCAGUGACCACAAUGAAGCAUUCGGUCCUUCAGAUCUGAGCGAGGCAGGCAGGGCUGCGACCUGCCUGGGCAGGAGCAAUGCCAGCCCCUGCCCCUGGGGAGCAACAGCCGGAGAAGCACAGGGCUGCUUACAGCAGCCUUCUGCGCUCCUCCGCUUCCUCUUCCUAAAUAAUUUGGCUUUAGAACACAUUGGCUGAUGCUGCUCAACAGUUUGCUGUUGGCUGUGCACUGCAGUGCUCGGCAAUGCCUUACGGCAUGAGACUGCUCCUGGUGAGUGUGGUCAGUGCUCAGAGCUGGCAGAGCAGCAGGGCUGGGUGCACUGGGACAUGGGAUGACAAGCCCUCAGCAGCCCAAAGAAGCCGAGCCAGAGGGUUCUGGAUGGUUGUGCCUCAUUGCCAGAGGUCAUCUGCUCAUGGUUGGAGCUUCAUGCUGUCCUCGUCCCUGCAGGGUCUCUGCAUGGUCUGGGUAAGAGGAUGGGAUGGUUUUGCCAGGGCUCCCAUACAGCCCUGUGACAGGCUGCCAGGGGUUCUCCUGCAUGUCUGCAGCAUCAGAGACCGACUAAUAACUGACUAAUCGUACAGUGUAAUUACUGGUUACUUUUGCCCUCUAAAAUAAAGUGCUACCUCAUAAUUAAAAAUAAAGAGAAUGGCAAUCCUAAUUACUAGGCUUUCAUUAGGCUGACAGAGGCACACGCGGCACUGCAAGGACUGUUCUCUCGGUCCCUACCCACACCUCCCCAUGACGUGCCCAGGGAAGCCCAGGGCAAACCCUCCCACUGACGACAGGGGCACACGGUCAUCCCCACAUAAACCUCGCCAAGCGCCACGCAGAGCUGAGGAACCUGCCCUGGAGCAUCCCUCAGACUUCAGUGCCUGGUGCAACCUGACCUGCAGGCUGCUGCUGGCGCUCAAUCCUCAGCCACCUUAGCAGCUCAUGCCCUGCAAUUUUAACAUAAGAAUCAUAAAUUACACCGUGUUUCACAUCCACAUCAAUGGAAGAUAAUCAUAGCCUGGUAUCCUCACUCUGAAAAUACUGCAGCAAAUACACUGCGUUGUUCUUCCCAGAGCCCCUGAGCAGCCGUACCCCGGCACAUGGGGAAGGAAGAGCUGCAUGGGGCCAUCUGGGGCUGCCGUUGCUCAGGGGCCGGGAACAGGCAGCUUCUGCUGGAGGCAGGAGGGCUUAACAGUCUCUGAGCUCAAGAGCAGCCGUAAGUCUUGCUCUCACUAUUAGUGAAGUUGUAAAAUAUCGUGUUAGAAAUGCCAGCCUUGGAAGAACAAAAAGUAAGCACCAUGGUACUGUUUGUAAAGCACUGCAGAACAGAUGCCAGGUUAUUCUUUUCCAGCUUUUCUCCCCCCAUCUCUAACACAAGCCAGCUUUGCUUAAUUUAGCCUUUUGCAGUUGUUGGUCAUUGCAGAUGAUCUCUUCUACACCAAAACAGUUGGUCUGGCUCUGGCCAGAGGGGUAAACUAGAAAUUCUCCUUGGAACCUCUGCUUGGAGUGGGACCCACAGUGCCAGUGCCCAAGUGCUGCUCAGGAGCGAUGGGCACAUGCUGCCAGGAGCCUUGAAACCCCUCUUCCUUGACCUUGUGCCACACUGAAGCCUCUGGGUGCAUUUAGCAUGUACCAUCCAGGACAGCUUUAUCCAUUGUCCUUGCCCUGGUUGUGUGAGGGAUCAGGAGCCAUAUGGGGAUGUGGUGCUUCUACCAGGGCUGGAGGAACCCCAGGGAGGACAGCAGGUUCCCCAGGGAACGAGGCAAGAGCAGGCCAGAGGGGAGGGGGAAGGAAGCGCUGGUUUCCAUCAGCAGCAGGAGGGGAAAUCCAACAGGACACUGCUUACUCAGUGCCUGUGCCUCCCGGGGCCACUCAUCCUGCUGGAAAGGAGCUCGUGUGCUGGGAAAGUUAGAACUUGACUCAGGGUUAUUUAGUUACUUCGUCACGAGCUGUGAUGGGAUUAUGGGUGUGAACACGGUGGCACCCGGGAGCUUUUGCUCCCUCCCAGUGCCACAAGAAAGGAGAUGGGGGGUUCCCAGGAGACCUCAGCCCAUCCUGCGCAGCGCUGCCAGGAAAUAGAGUGAGUUAAAAGGGGGCAGGCACCCUUUCUUGCUCCAUCAGGGUGCAGGACACGGCCAUUGCCGGUCAGCAAAAGAUCAGCAGUUCUGGACGGGAGCCUGUUCUGCUGUUACCUUCUUUUUAAAUCCUCCGAACAUUGUGAAGCAGCAGGGAGGAAGCCGGGAAGGCAGUGAAGGCUGUAC